rnacentral:rRNA from 1 species
UACAGAGGUCCCAAGCGUUGUUCGGAUUCACUGGGCGUAAAGGGUGCGUAGGCGGUCGGGUAAGUCUGAUGUGAAAUCUCCAGGCCUAACUUGGAAACUGCAUUGGAUACUAUCCGGCUAGAGGAAUGGAGGGGAGACUGGAAUACUUGGUGUAGCAGUGAAAUGCGUAGAUAUCAAGUGGAACACCAGUGGCGAAGGCGAGUCUCUGGACAUUUCCUGACGCUGAGGCACGAAAGCCAGGGGAGCAAACGGG